rnacentral:tRNA from 1 species
GGGCUGGGGCUCAGUGGUAGAGCGCUCGCCUUACAGUGUGAGGCCCUGGGUUCCAUCCUCAGCACCACA